GAUGAACGCUCGCUACAGGCUUAACACAUGCAAGUCGCGGGGCAGCAUGGGGGUUGCUUGCAAUCCCCGAUGGCGACCGGCGCACGGGUGAGUAACGCGUAUCCAACCUGCCCUUCACCACGGGAUAACCCGGCGAAAGUCGGACUAAUACCGUAUGUUGUCCAUUGACGGCAUCCGAUUUGGACGAAAGGUUUGGCGGUGAAGGCUGGGGAUGCGUCCGAUUAGCUGGACGGCGGGGUGACGGCCCACCGUGGCGACGAUCGGUAGGGGUUCUGAGAGGAAGGUCCCCCACACUGGAACUGAGACACGGUCCAGACUCCUACGGGAGGCAGCAGUGAGGAAUAUUGGUCAAUGGGCGUAAGCCUGAACCAGCCAAGUAGCGUGCAGGAUGACGGCCCUAUGGGUUGUAAACUGCUUUUAUGCGGGGAUAAAGUGGCCCACGUGUGGGUUUUUGCAGGUACCGCAUGAAUAAGGACCGGCUAAUUCCGUG
rnacentral:rRNA from 1 species